CCAUGGUGUUUUGCUCUACUGUGA
rnacentral:siRNA from 1 species